AGCAAUUUGGCGCAGUGGAAGCGCGGUAAGUUACUCUGACUCUGAGAAUCAGUUAGCAACGAUACUAACAGAACUAGCCGGGCUCAUAACCCGGAGGUCGCACGAUCGAAACGUGCAAUUGCUA